GCUGGGGUGCUCCGGAUUUUGCGGGGUUCGUCGGGCCUGUGGAGGAAGCGCCGCGCACGGACUUCGGCAGAGGUUGGCAAGGCCACAGGCUUCCUCAAGAACUUUCUGAUCGAGCCCUUCGUCCCCCACAGUCAGGCUGAGGAGUUCUAUGUCUGCAUCUAUGCCACCCGAGAAGGGGACUACGUCCUGUUCCACCACGAGGGGGGUGUGGACGUGGGUGAUGUGGACACCAAGGCCCAGAAGCUGCUUGUUGGCGUGGAUGAGAAACUGAAUCCUGAGGACAUCAAAAAACACCUGUUGGUCCACGCCCCUGAAGACAAGAAAGAAAUUCUGGCCAGUUUUAUCUCCGGCCUCUUCAAUUUCUACGAGGACCUGUACUUCACCUACCUCGAGAUCAAUCCCCUUGUAGUGACCAAAGAUGGAGUCUAUGUCCUUGACUUGGCGGCCAAGGUGGACGCCACUGCCGACUACAUCUGCAAAGUGAAGUGGGGUGACAUCGAGUUCCCUCCCCCCUUUGGGCGGGAGGCAUAUCCAGAGGAAGCCUACAUUGCAGACCUAGAUGCCAAAAGUGGGGCAAGCCUGAAGC
rnacentral:sRNA from 1 species